CGCUGGCGGCAGGCCUAACACAUGCAAGUCGAGCGGUAACAGAAAGUAGCUUGCUACUUUGCUGACGAGCGGCGGACGGGUGAGUAAUGCUUGGGAACAUGCCUUGAGGUGGGGGACAACAGUUGGAAACGACUGCUAAUACCGCAUAAUGUCUACGGACCAAAGGGGGCUUCGGCUCUCGCCUUUAGAUUGGCCCAAGUGGGAUUAGCUAGUUGGUGAGGUAAUGGCUCACCAAGGCGACGAUCCCUAGCUGGUUUGAGAGGAUGAUCAGCCACACUGGGACUGAGACACGGCCCAGACUCCUACGGGAGGCAGCAGUGGGGAAUAUUGCACAAUGGGCGCAAGCCUGAUGCAGCCAUGCCGCGUGUGUGAAGAAGGCCUUCGGGUUGUAAAGCACUUUCAGUCAGGAGGAAAGGUUAGUAGUUAAUACCUGCUAGCUGUGACGUUACUGACAGAAGAAGCACCGGCUAAC
rnacentral:rRNA from 1 species